rnacentral:pre_miRNA from 1 species
AUUGUACUCCCUCCGUCCCAAAAUUCUUAUCUUAAAUUUUUCUAGAAACGAAUGUAUCUAACUACUAAAACGUGACCAGAUACAUUCAUAUCCAGACAAAUCUAGAAAUGGAUGUAUCUAAAUACUAAAACAUGACUAUAUACAUUCAUAUCCAGACAAAUCUAAGACAAGAAUUUUGGGACGGAGGGAGUAUUAC